AGAGUUUGAUCCUGGCUCAGGACGAACGCUGGCGGCGCGCUUAACACAUGCGAGUUGAACGUUCCUCCUUAACUCACAGUCUUUGACUGUAGUUAAGGCAGUAAGUGGCGAACGGGUGAGUAACGCGUAGGUAACCUGCCCGGGAGUCAGGGACAACCUUUCGAAAGAAGGGCUAAUCUCUGAUAUCUUUAUUCGGUUCAGGCCGGAUAAAAAAAGGGUGUAUUUACAUCUGCUCCCGGAGGGGCCUGCGUUCCAUUAGCCUGCUGGUGAGAUAAUAGCUCACCAGGGCGACAAUGGAUAGCCGGUCUAAGAGGACGAUCGGCCACACUGGGACUGAGACACGGCCCAGACUCCUACGGGAGGCAGCAGUGUGGAAUCUUCCGCAAUGGGUGAAAAUCUGACGGAGCGACGCCGCGUGAGUGAAGACGGCCGAUAUGGUUGUAAAGCUCUGUCCCUGGUGAAGAAAUCACUAUAGACUAAUAGUCUAUAGUGUUGACGGUAAUCAGGGUAGGAAGCCCUGGCCAACUACGUGCCAGCAGCCGCGGUAACACGUAGAGGGCAAGCGUUGUCCGGAAUCACUGGGCGUAAAGGGCACGCAGGCGGUAAAGCAAGUCAUAUAUGAAAACUAAGGGCUUAACCCUUAGCUUGUAUAUGAAACUGUUUUACUUGAGGGUAGGAGAAGAGAACGGAAUUCCUGGAGUAGCGGUGGAAUGCGUAGAUAUCAGGGAGAACGCCAGUGGCGAAAGCGGUUCUCUAUCCUGACCCUGACGCUGAGGUGCGAAAGCCAGGAUAGCUAACGGGAUUAGAUACCCCGGUAGUCCUGGCCGUAAACAAUGGGCACUGAGUGUUGGAGGUGGAAAUCCUUCAGUGCUGCAGUUAACGCGUUAAGUGCCCCGCCUGGGGAUUACGGUCGCAAGACUGAAACUCAAAGGAAUUGACGGGGGCCCGCACAAGCGGUGGAGCAUGUGGUUUAAUUCGAUGCAACGCGAACAACCUUACCGAGGCUUGACCUAUCCGUGACUACCUGUGAAAGCAGGGUCUGGUGUUCAGCCACACGGUAGCAGGUGAUGCAUGGCUGUCGUCAGCUCGUGUCGUGAGAUGUUGGGUUAAGUCCCGCAACGAGCGCAACCCUUGUACCUAGUUGCCAGCAAGUGAGGUUGGGGACUCUAGGUAGACUGCCGGUGAAAACCGGAGGAAGGUGGGGAUGACGUCAAGUCCUUAUGUCCUUUAUGCCUCGGGCUACACACGUGCUACAAUGGCCGAGACAGAGGGUAAGCAAAGCCAUGAGGCUGAGCUAAUCCUGAAAAUCGGUCUUAGUUCGGAUUGCAGGCUGCAACCCGCCUGCAUGAAGCUGGAAUCGCUAGUAAUCGCGGAUCACCAUGUCGCGGUGAAUACGUUCCCGGGCCUUGUACACACCGCCCGUCACACCAACCGAGUCGGCUGCACCAGAAGACGUCUACGGGCGUUGACGGUGUGUCCGGUGAGGGGGGUGAAGUCGUAACAAGG
rnacentral:rRNA from 1 species